ensembl:lncRNA
GUGCAAAGAGUGGAAACCGUAUGUUCCCAGCGGGUGGCAAUAUGAACACAUGAAUAUGGCCUAAACAUUUGUUUUGUUUACUGGAUAGUAAAGAGGUACAGAGGAAAGAUGGAGGAGAGGGUGCUGAAAUAGCAGUGGGACAGAUUGGAGGAGAGGGUGCUGAAAUAGCAGUGGGACAGAUUGGAGGAGAGGGUGCUGAAAUAGCAGUGGGCCGGAUUGGAGGAGAGGGUGCUGAAAUAGCAGUGGGACAGAUUGGAGGAGAGGGUGCUGAAAUAGCAGUGGGACAGAUUGGAGGAGAGGGUGCUGAAAUAGCAGUGGGACAGAUUGGAGGAGAGGUAGCUGAAAUAGCAGUGGGACAGAUUGGAGGAGAGGGUGCUGAAAUAGCAGUGGGACAGAUUGGAGCAGAGGGUGCUGAAAUAGCAGUGGGACAGAUUGGAGGAGAGGGUGCUGAAAUAGCAGUGGGCCAGAUUGGAGGAGAGGGUGCUGAAAUAGCAGUGGGACAGAUUGGAGGAGAGGGUGCUGAAAUGGCAGUGGGACAGA